GUACAGCUGGGUGGGUUUUCCAAUGCCGUGUUGGUUUUCUUAAACCAGCCCCAAAACUGCAUUCACCCAGUGCCCAGCCUCCCUCAGGAAGUAAUGGGCACAGCCAGAGCUGUCCUGCCUGGUACCUUGUUGCAAUGAUUUUGUUUCCAUUUGUUGUCUUGUGCAAUCAUUUAUUUUCUUGUUGUUUUACUGUUCUCUUUAGUCCUCUUACACUUCAAAGGCUGUGCUGAGGUCAGAUGAAUGCCUGGCCUUCCUGGAUAACAGGCAGUCUAUCUCGAGAACUUUCUGUGAUUCAGUGCCAUUAGAUGUAGCUGUUGUCAAAUGUAGCCGAGGUCCUGAAGGCAACCACAGAAAACUUCUGUUGGAAGGAACCUCUGAAGGUCACCCGGCCCAAUGCCUGCUGACAGUGCAGAUGUGGUGACCUGGACACCUCUGGGCUGGAUGGGGCUGAAGAGGACCUGCUCAAGGAGCAGAGUAGAUCUUUAGUUCAUACUUGCUAAUACCUUACACUGCUGAACUUUGCAGUUUUGAAGAAAUACAGUGAUCAAAACAGAUUUAGGAUGGAAUUUAUCCUUUAAUCACUUUCCCCCCUGCUUCAGUCACGUUGGGUGUAGGGUAUAAAGGGUGCUACCCCCCACAUCCUUUUUUCUGUUUUGACUGGAAGACAUUGGCAGCAAAGGACGAUCCCGUUUGUACAGCGCCUGCAGCUGCCGCAGAGAUGCAAAGGCUGAGCCCCUCCUGGAACGCAGGCUGCCCUUCCUGGCACCACCACAGCUUGUGCUGUUCCCGCUCCCGGGCUCAGCUUUCAUUCUUGUGCCACCUUGCCCGUUUCAGGUCCAAGCAAUUCCAACCACCUACGAAAAAAAGCACACCACCGUGCUAAGGAAUGAAGCACAGAAGCAAGAUUCCUGAGCAUGUCUGCAGGGAUACAAAAUGGAAUUUUAGAUAUGGAAUGAUUUCCAGCUUGGCAGCUACAUUACAAGGUAAAGCUGCUUUGUCACUCACGCCUGGAUAUCAUGGAUGCUCUGUAUGAUAUAGCAAGAGAGACUGUUCCUGCCAUGCAUAUUUUGCUGGGGCUUAUGACUCCUUGGAAACAGGCACUUUGUUUCCACAUCUUAUGGAUGAGGGGAUAUGUUUUUCAUAUUAACACUGCCAAAAUAUGGGUGCAGCCAGUCUUAUCCUGCCUCAUACCCAGUAACCAACCCUCUACCAGUUUCUGCAAUUGUAAUUUGUAUUCUCUUGAUCUCUGCAAUCUUGCAACAGUGGCAAUACCUUCAGAGAUGAAUGCCAUUUCUACUGUGCCUGUUAGAAGCUCUAUCCUGUAACACACAAGCUGAUACACAACAGAACAGAACAGAACAGAACAUCCAGCAUGCCCUGGCAGCUCACUGCCUUCCUGCUGCCAACACUGAAGGUGCUAAAAAUGAGCUAUUUACUUUUCUGCAGUCUGAAGAAAAUACCUAGUUGUGCUAUACACCAAAACAUGAACUUGUAUAAUUGGGAUAUGAAGCAGGCACUAGCUGAGCCAUGUGGUCAGUGAGCUGGAGUGUUGGCAGCCUUCUGUAAUUCCUGCUGGGUGUUUUGUCCUUUCCUAUGCUGAGUUCAUGGUUUGGGUGGUUGAGCAGUCAAAUCGAGACACUUACUGAACACAGUUCAGGGAUGGCAGGGAAAGGUUAAUUGCAAGGUAUCUGAUUUUUUCUUCCAUUUAAAUGCUAGCAUUUUGUUUAAUGAUAACCACUUGAAAAAAUAUUUGUUUUAGAAAAAAAUAAUGCUGCCAAAAUAAACAACACUGAUCUGUGUUUAUGUUUUGGUAGAAACUCGAGGCCACUCUUGAAGGCAAAUGGCAAAUUGCUUUACUGGCCACAGCAAGUUAAUAAUGAACAUCAACAUUA